UGAGGAAUAUUGGUCAAUGGGCGAGAGCCUGAACCAGCCAAGUCGCGUGAGGGAAGACGGUCCUAUGGAUUGUAAACCUCUUUUGUCCGGGGAGCAAAGAGCGGCACGUGUGCCGCGCCGAGAGUACCCGGAGAAAAAGCAUCGGCUAACUCCGUGCC
rnacentral:rRNA from 1 species